rnacentral:lncRNA from 1 species
UGUUACUUUGAAAUGACAAUGACUGUCAAUCCUUGCACUUUAGGGCAAAAAAUGAAGUCAGAAAAAAAAAAUUCCCUGAGGAUGGAAGAUUUGAAAAGGCACCAAAGAGUAAUUUUGCCUUCUGCUGAAAUACCUGCAACGUCAAGAGGUUGUUUUCUACAACAAAGCAGCACAGGUUGCAGCGCUGUGACAAGGACGUCUUUAAAGCAGAGAACGUCAGGCAACUGCUUCCCAUCCCUGCCUACCCGGCCAGGCAGGAUCUGGUUGUUCAUUCUCCUUAUGCCAUGCUGUAAAAGCAAACUGAUGUUAUAA